rnacentral:rRNA from 1 species
UACGGGGGGAGCAAGCGUUGUUCGGAUUUACUGGGCGUAAAGGGUGCGCAGGCGGUUCUGCAAGUCAGGCGUGAAAUCCCCGGGCUUAACCUGGGAAUGGCGCUUGAAACUACGGGACUGGAGUAUGGCAGAGGGAGGUGGAAUUCCACGUGUAGCGGUGAAAUGCGUAGAGAUGUGGAGGAACACCGAUGGCGAAGGCAGCCUCCUGGGCCAAUACUGACGCUCAUGCACGAAAGCGUGGGGAGCAAACAGG